rnacentral:rRNA from 1 species
AUUGAACGCUGGCGGCAUGCUUUACACAUGCAAGUCGAACGGUAACAGGUUAAGCUGACGAGUGGCGAACGGGUGAGUAAUGCAUCGGAACGUGCCCGGUCGUGGGGGAUAACGCAGCGAAAGCUGCGCUAAUACCGCAUACGAUCUGAGGAUGAAAGCGGGGGACCGUAAGGCCUCGCGCGAUCGGAGCGGCCGAUGUCAGAUUAGGUAGUUGGUGAGGUAAAGGCUCACCAAGCCAACGAUCUGUAGCUGGUCUGAGAGGACGACCAGCCACACUGGGACUGAGACACGGCCCAGACUCCUACGGGAGGCAGCAGUGGGGAAUUUUGGACAAUGGGCGAAAGCCUGAUCCAGCAAUGCCGCGUGCAGGAAGAAGGCCUUCGGGUUGUAAACUGCUUUUGCACGGAGCGAAAAGGCUCUCUCUAAUACAGGGGGCUCAUGACGGUACCGUAAGAAUAAGCACCGGCUAACUACGUGCCAGCAGCCGCCGUAAGAC